AAUAGCGCUCGAGGAUCACUUCAAUCUUCACCGAUUCAACGACAUAAGCUGAAGCUCUGCCAAAAUCGCUACUCAGCCUAAAGCUUAACCUCCCCAAAGCUUGAAUCGAAUAAGAGAAUUCCAAAGCCAAAAUCAGUCAAUGCUGAUUACAUACAUUCUCUUAGACCUUAGGCAAACCUCUGUUUACCCAGAAGCCAAGGUCAAACUUGCUCCAAAGAACUUGUUCUUUGAAGUACAGUUGGC
rnacentral:lncRNA from 1 species